rnacentral:lncRNA from 1 species
AAAUAUGUCUGUCAAAACAGACUGAAACUAGUCCAACAAUUCUCAAAUCUUGACUUGAGAGCUCAAAGAAUAAUAAGCACCGGAAAAGCGUACUGGAAAAAUUAGUGCUUAAUUAAACCAAGAGGUUACACGUCAAGGUUAUAGGCUAAUCAAAUGGGAGCUACUUAACCCAAAAGACUAACACGCACUAGCACAAGACACUAGUACUUAACUUGCACGUACUAGCAUAAUACUUUUUCAAUGGAGAAGAACUACACUGCCUGGAGCUGAUUUCACUAGACGAGAAUCUGUAGCACAUACAGCAGCUAGACUAGCAACUAACUGAAAUCCACGAUUUUAGUUCUACCGAUUUGGACUGACCAACUCUGCUAGCCUAAAGACGAACGACAGAUAGCUGAAGAUGAACUAAAACCUGAGAAAAUUACGCCAAGCAUAAAAAUAGAAGGGAGCGAGCCAGUAGCAUCAGCGGAUGCUCUUCCGUUCGACAGAGAACGCCAAGAAAAUUGCUAGAAAUACAGCAACCCCAAAUCGAAACAAGAACAGAGGACGAACUCAGUAUGAACUCGCACAAAAUAAAUCACCAAAGAUAAAAUCUUGUGCCAUCCUCAGGAACCCAUGAAUAAAUUGAACAACAACCGGAUUUAAGGCUAGGGAUGGAUGCAUAUGAAUUUAGACAUGAUUUUCCAUCACAGAAAACCCAUUAUAGCCAAGGAAUCGUAGGGACAAAAUUAGUACAGCAGAAAAAUGAGAUUUGCAAGGACAAACAUCAGACCUCAACAAUAGCAAGGCUGCGAAUAAUUUGAGGAUUUAUUUCUCAGAUUUCUGGAGUUACAAGCCUCUCUCACAUUAAAUCCCACACAGGAAGCUCUCUCUCAAAUGUGCGGCGGCUGCUCUGUUUUUCUCCUCCUAGCGGCGGCAACUCUAUCUUAUGCCAAGAGAAAACCUAGCAGCUUACAUAUAAGGCUGGAUCAGCCUUCCACCGCCAUUGAAUGGGCCAUGGUUCCCACCGAAUGGGCCAAGCCCAAAACACUAAAACAAAUAGCCCUUUUUACUUAGCCACUUGUAAAUAACACUUUCCACUCUUAAGCAACACCACAAUCACUCUCUUGGUUUGCUUCUUAGUGGAUUUUGGUAAACAUACCAAAAUAACCUUCACUUGACAUGAUCUUCUCGUUUGCCUCCAUAUAGUCCUUGUCCAAAACUUGUGCGUUGCUUUGAGCCGCACGAUCCCGCACAACGUCCAUGGUCACAUCUUAGCUCUUCAAGCCUCAUGCCAACCAUCCUCGUUGUCGACUACCAUCGCACUCAUUGGAACCUGCACACAAUGGAAACAAGCAACUAUUGCGAGCACAAACUUCCUGAGCUUGACCCAAGUCAAUCCAAAUUAACAGUUUAAUACGAUCAACGCCAUCCAGAUAAGUCACAUAAAAUAGAUCAGGUCCUUGAUCCAACAAACUGGGAUUUGCAACCCCACUAAAAUAACUCUCAAAGCGAGCAAAAACAUUGGUAAUAUAAUCAUCACAAAAUUAAGGGUAUCACCACAUAGACUCACAAUCUCCCCCCUUGAUGUUUAUAUUGCCAACUCAGCUCUCAGGAAGAAAAAUUAGAGUUUUAGUUUUAACAGAGAGAAGGAAAGUUGAAAAAUCACACUUGGUCCUAAAGAAAAAAAUGUAGACAUGACCAAGUGGACAAGGUGGAGAGUGAAGCUAACACCCGGAUCCAAAGCUUCACUUCCAACUAAAACUCAUCAGAGAGAAAUCAACCUUGUUUUCACAAGUUCACAAGGGAAAGAACCAAGAUUUUUUUAAGUAUGAACGGCUCCCCCUAACUCCCCUCAACUUGUGUACAUACUGAGACUCAUACAGUGCUCAAUUUGCAACAUAUGCACUGUCCUAUUUCUCCCCCUUUGGCAUUAUAAGCAUCAAGGGAGAUGCCUCCCCCUCAAUUUAUGCAUAUGAGAAAACAUCAAGAUCGAGCAUGUAUGCAUGAAGUGGAAUUUAUGCAAUUGUACGAGCAUUGAAGAUUAUUCAGUUGAAGCACAUGAGAUAGAAAUGCUACUAGGCCAUGAUAAGUAAGAGCUCAUCUAGUCAUACUAAGACAUAUAGAGAAAAUCCUUGAGCUAGAUGCAACAAGACAUUCAAUUUCUUAGUAACUUUAGUUUUCACACAUGAUGAGUUAUUAUGUAGGCAAACACAUGGAAAAGAGACUAAACAUUGCAGGGCAUUACAACCUAGCGCUAAGCAAUGACUAGGAGGCACACCCGAUCAAAAAUGGAACAUUCUCGCUAUGCUGAUCAUCUCACAAGCAAAGUGCCACCUCUUGCACGAGCAGGCACCUUGAGUGAUUAAGUCAACACAAAAUGAUACACUUAGAAAUUCUAUGAAAAGGCACAAGCAAGGUACCACCUCCUGCACGAGCAGGUACCUUGAGUGAUUUUAUUUUGAUUUUAUGAAAAGGCACAAGCAAAGUACCACCUCCUACACGAGCAGGUACCUUGAGUGAUUUUAUUUUGAUUUUAUGUUAAGUCACAAGCAAAGCACCACCUCCUGCACAAGCAGGUACCUUGAGUGGUUUGAUUAAGAAAGUAUGGAAUAUGCACAAGCAAAAUACCACCACCUGCAUGAGGAGGUAUCUUGAGUGAUUCUUCACAAAAAAAUGCAGAUAAAAAGUAACUCAUGAAAGCAAGACUAGGGACUUGACAAGACAGUAGACCAUAUCCGACCUAAGUGACAUAGGUCUAAGCAAAACAAGUCUCUAGUGGUUCCAGGUGUGAUAUCAAAUGGAGUCCAAACUAGCUAGCCACAACAUAGAUCAGAGUUGCAAUACAAAGCACAAGUAGAUUCUCAAGUCAAGGUGAUCAACUAGCAUAGAACUCAUCAUAUGGUCAACAUGUUUAUUUAGUUCAACUUCAUUUCUAAUUAAAAGUAGCAUGCAAAGGGUUAUCCAUAUAUGGCAAACCAUGACAGGAUGAGCUAGACAAUAAGCAUAACAUGGCCAAGAGCAACUUCAUUAUGAAGAUUUCUUCAACAAAAGAAUCAUAAAAGCUCAAAGGUAUCUUACAUAUGAUGCAAGGUGCAAUAUGAUACAUAUGAACAAAGAAAAAACACAAACUCCCCCUUCACAAGAUCCCAUAAGGGCCGACGACCCCCAAAUCUCCCCGCAAAGAAGCAAAACGACUAACAUCCAAAGGUUUGGUAAAAAUAUCGGCAAGCUAAUGCUCAGUAUCAACAUACAUGAGCUCUAUAUCACCUUUCUCCACGUGGUCUCUUAUGAAGUGGUAGCACAGCUCAAUGUGUUUAGUUCUAGAGUGUUGGACUGGAUUCUUAGGAAUACUUAUCGCACUAGUGUUAUCGCAGAAAAGUGGAAUAGAAGAAAUGAAAAUCCCCAAAUCCUGUAAAGUAGAAGAGAUCCAAAGAAUCUGACUACAACUGCUCGCAGCUGCUACAUACUCUGCCUCGGCUGUGCUCUGUGCUGCACUAGAUUGCUUCCUAGAAGACUAAGAAAUAAGGGAAGUACCUAGAAAGUGACAAGUACCGGAAGUGCUCUUGCGGUCUAUCCUACACCCACCAAAGUCUGAAUCUGCAAACCCCCUAACUCCUAAACUAGAAGAACUAGAAAACCAUAGGCCAAAAUCAGGUGUUCCUUGGAGGUACCUUAAAAUGCGUUUGAUGGCUUGCUUAUGGGAGUCUCUUGGGGAAGCCUAAAAACGAGCACACAGGCAUACCGCAAAUUGUAUGUCUGGCCUCAUUGCAGUCAAGUACAGUAGUGAGCCAAUCAUGCUUCUGUAUUCUCGCUGGUCCACCACCUCACCAUUUUCGUCUACAUCAAGUAUUGUGGCAGUGGACAUUGGGGUAUGGAGUGGCUUGGAAUCGCUCAUCCCAAACUUCUUUAACAUGUCCUUCGUGUACUUGCCUUGAUAUACAAAGGUGCCCUGCUUUGUUUGCUUGAUUUGCAGUCCAAGAAAGAAGGACAACUCACCCAUCAUGGACAUCUCAAAUUCAUCACUCAUGUCUUUGGAAAACUUAGCACAAAGAGCAUUAGACGAGCCACCAAAUAUGAUAUCAUCUACGUAAAUUUGCACUAUAAGUAGUUCAUUAUGAUGCCUAAGAGUGAACAAGGUCUUAUCAGCUUCACCCAUUUUAAAACCUUUCUUGAUUAAAAACCCUUUGAGCCAAUCGUACCAAGCUCUAGGGGCUUGCUUAAGACCAUAAAGAGCUUUCUGCAAUUUAUAGACAUGGUUUGGGAGCUUGUCAUUUUCAAAACCAGGGGGUUCUUUUACAUAAACUUCUUCAUCAAUGAAACCAUUUAGAAAAGCACUUUUGACAUCCAUUUGAAAUAACUUAAAACCCUUGGAAGCAGAGUAAGCAAGUAAAAUACGUAUCGCCUCCAACCGUGCAACAGGUGCAAAGGUCUCAUCAAAAUCAAAAACCUGAAUUUGAGAAUAACCUGGAGCAACUAGGCGAGCCCUGUUGUGAACAACUUGGCCGUCCUCUCCCUGUUUAUUUUUGAAAACCCACUUGGUUCCAAUAACAUUUAUACUCUGGUCAAAUGGGGUUUUUACAAGUUGCCAUACCUUGUUUCUCUCAAAGUUCUCUAACUCCUCAUGCAUUUCCCUAAUCCAAUUUUCAUCUUCUAAUGCAUGGCUAACAUCUCGGGGCUCAAAAGAUGCAACAAAUGCAGUAUGUGCAAAGUCUGAGAAAUGAGUGGACCUGGAGCGCAAAGUACGCUCAGAGAUGUUGCCGAUGAUCAGAUCUGGUGGGUGAGCAUGAUGAAGACGUAGAGAUCCCUGAAGGACCUCAGAAGCAGGUGAGGAAAUAGUUGUGGUAGCCUCUGCCUCAGCAUCUUCCAUUGGAACAGAAGUGGUAGUAGGUUCUGCGGCAGGUGCAAGGGGUAUGGGGUUUUCCCCACACCAUCCUCAUUAUCUUCUUCAACAAAUAAGGUUUCAAAAACUUAUGGUGUACCUGAAAACUCGUGUCUAGCUGGGCUAGCCUCAUCAAAAGUUACAUCGCAAGUCUCUACCACAAGGUUAGAUUCUAAAUUUAAAACACGAUAGCCCUUCAUGUGAGCAGGGUAACCAAGAAAGAUACCAUCAGAAGUGCGCGACUCAAACUUGUCAAGCAGGCCCUUCUUUAGGAUAAAACACUUGCAACCAAACACCCGCAAAUGAGAAAUAUUAGGCUUUCUACCAAAUCUCAACUCAUAAGAGGUCACUUUCAAGGAACUCCGAAGAAAAACACGAUUUGACACAUAGCAAGCUGUACUAAUGGCUUCAUCCCAAUAACGCCGCAGUGUGCCAAAUUCAUCAAGCAUGGUCCUUGCCAUCUCCACAAGAGUUCUAUUUUUCCUUUCCACAACACCAUUUUGUUGAGGUGUGCGAGGAGAAGAAAAUUGGUGCUCAAUUCCUCUCUCAGCAAGGAAAUCGGCAAAGGAAGAAUUUUUGAACUCCAAACCAUUAUCACUACGAAUAGUUUUCAUCUCACCAGGAAAUACAUUGAAUAGCCUUAAAGCCAAAUCAUGAAAAUGAUUGAAUGCUUCCGAUUUAUGAUCCAUAAAGAAAAUCCAAGAGUAUCGAGAAAAAUCAUUUACGAUGACAAGCACGUACCACUUCCCACUAGCUGACCGGACCCGAGCUGGACCAAGUGUGUCCAUAUGUAACAAUUGAGCGGGUCUGGUUGUGUUCACCAGAUUGAUUGGAGGGUGAGAGGCAGAGACUUGCUUUCCAUGCCGGCAUGGGGCACACACAAUGUCCUUUGUGGCUUUGAGCUUAGGCAAACCUCGCAAAAGAUCAAGGCCGCCAAUUCGAAUUAGGUGGUCAAAACCAACAUGCCCCAAGCGACGAUGCCACAACUGAAACUCACUCAUCUUAGAAGAGGCCACAAAAUGAAGGAGAUAUGCCCUAGAGGCAAUAAUAAUGUUAUUAUUUUAUUUCCUUAUAUCAUGAUAAAUGUUUAUUAUUCAUGCUAGAAUUGUAUUAUCCAGAAACAUAAUACUUGUGUGAAUACAUAGACAAACUAAAACAUCACUAGUAUGCCUCUACUUGACUAGCUCGUUAAUCAAAGAUGGUUAUGUUUCCUAACCAUAGACAUGUGUUGUCAUUUGAUUAACGGGAUCACAUUAUUAGGAGAAUGAUGUGAUUGACAUGACCCAUUCCAUUAGCUUAGCACCCGAUCGUUUAGUAUGUUGCUAUUGCUUUCUUCAUGACUUAUACAUGUUCCUAUGACUAUGAGAUUAUGCAACUCCCGUUUGCCGGAGGAACACUUUGUGUGCUACCAAACGUCACAACGUAACUGGGUGAUUAUAAAGGAGCUCUACAGGUGUCUCCAAAUGUAAAUGUUGGGUUGGCGUAUUUCGAGAUUAGGAUUUGUCACUCCGAUUGUCGGAGAGGUAUCUCUGGGCCCUCUCGGUAAUGCACAUCACAUAAGCCUUGCAAGCAUUGCAACUAAUGAGUUAGUUGCGAGAUGACGUAUUACGAAACGAGUAAAGAGACUUGCCGGUAACGAGAUUGAACUAGGUAUUGAGAUACCGACGAUCGAAUCUCGGGCAAGUAACAUACCGAUGACAAAGGGAACAACGUGUGUUGUUAUGCGGUUUGACCGAUAAAGAUCUUCGUAGAAUAUGUGGGAGCCAAUAUGAGCAUCCAGGUGCCGCUAUUAGUUAUUGACCGGAGACAUGUCUCGGUCAUGUCUACAUUGUUCUCGAACCCGUAGGGUCCGCACGCUUAAGGUUUCGAUGACAGUUAUAUUAUGAGUUUAUGAGUUUUGAUGUACCGAAGUUAGUUCGGAGUCCCGGAUGUGAUCACGGACAUAACGAGGAGUCUCCAAAUGGUCGAGACAUAAAGAUUGAUAUAUUGGACGACUAUAUUCGGACACCGGAAGUGUUCCGGGUGAUUUCGGAGAACACCGGUGUACCGGAGGGUUACCGGAACCCCCCGGGAGAAGUAAUAGGCCAUAUGGGCCUUAGUGGAGACAGAGAAGGGUAGCCAGGGUGGGCCGCGCGCCUCCUCCCCCUGGUCCGAAUUGGACUAGGAGAGGGGGGGGCCCUUUCCUUCUCCCUCCCCACUUCCUUCCCCCUCCUAGUAGGAGUCCUACUCCUACUAGGAGGAGGACUCCUCCUUGGCGCGCCUAUAGGGCCGGCCGGCCUCCUCCCCUUGCUCCUUUAUAUACGGGGGCAGGGGGCACCCCUAGACACACAAGUUGAUCCACGUGAUCGUUUUCUUAGCCGUGUGCGGUGCCCCCUUCCACCAUAAUCCUCGAUAAUAUUGUAGCGGUGCUUAGGCGAAGCCCUGCGACGGUAGACCAUCAAGAUCGUCACCAUGCCGUCGUGCUGACGGAACUCUUCCCCGACACUUUGCUGGAUCGAAGUCCGGGGAUCGUCAUCGAGCUGAACGUGUGCUAAAACUCGGAGGUGCCGUAGUUUCGGUGCUUGAUCGGUCGGGCCGUGAAGACGUACGACUACAUCAACCGCGUUGUGCUAACGCUUCCGCUGUCGGUCUACAAGGGUACAUAGAUCACACUCUCCCCUCUCGUUGCUAUGCAUCACCAUGAUCUUGCGUGUGCAUAGGAAUUUUUUUGAAAUUACUAUGUUCCCCAACAGUGGCAUCCGAGCCUAGGUUUUAUGUGUUGAUGUUAUAUGCACGAGUAGAACACAAGUGAGUUGUGGGCGAUAUAAGUCAUACUGCUUACCAGCAUGUCAUACUUUGGUUUGGCGGUAUUGUUGGACGAAGCGGCCCGGACCGACAUUACCCGUACGCUUACGCGAGACCGGUUCUCCCGACGUGCUUUGCACAAAGGUGGCUAGCGGGUGUCAGUUUCUCCAACUUUAGUUGAACCGAGUGUGGCUACGCCCGGUCCUUGCGAAGGAUAAAACAUCACCAACUUCACAAACUAUCGUUGUGGUUUUGAUGCGUAGGCAAGAUUGGUUCUUGCUUAAGCCUGUAGUAGCCACGUAAAACUUGCAACAACAAAGUAGAGGACGUCUAACUUGUUUUUGCAGGGCAUGUUGUGAUGUGAUAUGGUCAAGACAUGUUUCUAAAUUUUAUUGUAUAAGAUGAACAUGUUUUGUAACCAAGUUAUCGGCAACUAGCAAGAGCCAUAUGGUUGUCGCUUUCUUGUAUGCAAUGCAAUUGUGCUGUAAUGCUUUACUUGAUCACUAAGCGGUAGCGAUAGUCGUGGAAGCAUAAGGUUGGCAAGACGACAACGAUGCUACGAUGGUGAUCAAGGUGUCGCGCCGGUGACGAUGGUGAUCACGACGGUGCUUCGAAGAUGGAGAUCACAAGCACAAGAUGAUGAUGGCCAUAUCAUAUCACUUAUAUUGAUUGCAUGUGAUGUUUAUCUUUUAUGCAUCUUAUCUUGCUUUGAUUGACGGUAGCAUUUUAAGAUGAUCUCUCACUAAUUAUCAAGAAGUGUUCUCCCUGAGUAUGCACCGUUGUGAAAGUUCUUCGUGCUGAGACACCACGUGAUGAUCGGGUGUGAUAGGCUCUACAUUCAAAUACAACGGGUGCAAAACAGUUGCACACACGGAAUACUCAGGUUAUACUUGAUGAGCCAAGCAUAUACAGAUAUGGCCUCGGAACACGGAGAUCGAAAGGUCGAGCGUGAAUCAUAUAGUAGAUAUGAUCACCAUAGUGAUGUUCACCAAUGAAACUACUCCAUCUCAUGUGAUGAUCGGACAUGGUUUAGUUGAUUUGGAUCACGUAAUCACUUAGAGGAUUAGAGGGAUGUCUAUCUAAGUGGGAGUUCUUUAGUAAUAUGAUUAAUUGAACCUAAAUUUAUCAUGAACUUAGUACCUGGUAGUAUCUUGCUUGUUUAUGUUUGAUUGUAGAUAGAUGGCCCAUGCUGUUGUUCCGUUGAAUUUUAAUGCGUUUCUUGAGAAAGCAAAGUUGAAAGAUGAUGGUAGCAAUUACACGGACUGGGUCCGUAACUUGAGGAUUAUCCUCAUUGCUGUACAGAAGAAUUACGUCCUGGAAGCACCUCUGGGUGUCAGGCCUACUGCUGGAGCAACACCAGAUGUUAUGAACGUCUGGCAGAGCAAAGCUGAUGACUACUCGAUAGUUCAGUGUGCCAUGCUUUACGGCUUAGAAUCAGGACCUCAACGACGUUUUAGAACGUCAUGGAGCAUAUGAGAUGUUCCAGGAGUUGAAGUUAAUAUUUCAAGUAAAUGCCCGGAUUGAGAGAUAUGAAGUCUCCAAUAAGUUCUAUAGCUGCAAGAUGGAGGAGAACAGUUCUGUCAAUGAGCAUAUACUCAAAAUAUCUGGGUAUAAUAAUCACUUGAUUCAAUCAGGAGUUAAUCUUCCAGAUGAUUGCGUCAUUGACAGAAUUCUCCAAUCACUACCACCAAGCUACAAGAGCUUCGUGAUGAACUAUAAUAUGCAAGGGAUGAAUAAGACUAUUCCCGAGCUCUUCGCAAUGCUGAAAGCUGCGGAGGUAGAAAUCAAGAAGGAGCAUCAAGUGUUGAUGGUCAACAAGACCACUAGUUUCAAGAAAAAGGGCAAAGGAAAGAAGAAGGGGAACUUAAAAAAAACAUCAAGCAAGUUGCUACUCAAGAGAAGAAACCCAAGCCUGGACCUAAGCCUGAAACUGAGUGCUUCUACUGCAAGCAGACUGGUCACUGGAAGCGGAACUGCCCCAAGUAUUUGGCGGAUAAGAAGGAUGGCAAGAUGAACAAAGGUAUAUGUGAUAUACAUGUUAUGUAUGUGUACCUUACUAAUGCUCGCAGUAGCACCUGGGUAUUUGAUACUGGUUUUGUUGCUAACAUUUGCAACUCGAAACAUGGAUUACGGAUUAAGCGAAGAUUGGCUAAGGACGAGGUGACAAUGCGCGUGGAAAAUGGCUCCAAAGUCGAUGUGAUCGCGGUCGGCACGCUACCUCUACAUCUACCUUCGGGAUUAGUAUUAGACCUAAAUAAUUGUUAUUUGGUGCCAGCGUUAAGCAUGAACAUUAUAUCUAGAUCUUGUUUGAUGCGAGAUGAUUAUUCAUUUAAAUUAGAGAAUAAUGGUUGUUCUAUUUAUAUGAGUAAUAUCUUUUAUGGUCAUGCACCCUUAAAAAGUGGUCUAUUGAACAUAUAAACCCUGAAGAAGUGGUAGUCACAACGAAGCCAGCCACAUCGCCUUUAAAUCGCUGCUACCACCGCCUGUAAUUUUUGUUCCCCGCCGAGGGCAUUUUGGUCUUUUCACGUGCAGGGGUAUAAAUCGGGCGGCGGGCGCCGUAGCAGCGAGUGGUCCAAACCUAGCCCCCAAUCUCCUUCUGCCCCGAGCCCCGCUCCAUCUCCGCCUGUGUAGUUCGCCACCGCCAUGCCCCUGCUCGUCCCACGCCCCUGCUCCUCCCCUUGGUUUCUCUCCUCUUCUAGCUGUCUCUCCUCUAGCCGCAUCGUUGACCAUCUCCCUACCUAUUUAUCCCAUCCCUGCAAGGCAGUGCCUCCCCACGUUCUCGAUCCGGCGUUGCCAUGCACGGUGGUUUCGCCUCCCCAUGUUCUUGAUCUGGUGUUGCUGUGGGUAGGUCACACUAUGGUAGAGUAGGGGCGGUGUGAUUUCCGUGAUGGAUAUGGAGGACGAGGGCCAGGGGGAGGGUGGGCAGGACGGACAUGGGGAAGGAGCUGCGAGGCUGGAGAUCCAGCGGCGCUCGGGUCAUGGUGGUGUGGGGCCGACCAUCACUCCCGACCGCUGGUUGUCGUUCCUCAUCCCCAAUCUAGGCUGUACAUGUUUGGCCCUGCCAUCUUCUUCUUCCUCCCAAGUCUUUGCCUCUUGAUUUCUUUGGUUCCUGAUUUUGAUUUCUCGAUUUACAAUUUUCCUGAACAUGAUAUGUGUAGAUCUUAUGAAGAAGAGAAGAGGGAGGAUCUUGAGGAAGAGUCCAGAACAAGGUGAAACUUCUCUUGUGGACCCUGUUUUUGGCACAAUACAUUGGGAGCAGGUAUGUUUUGUCCAUACUCGUUCUUCUUUUUUCAUGUCGUGUUCAACCUGUUUGAUAUUGGUACCCCUGGGAAAUAUUCCCAACUUGCCUUGUAUGGUUAAUUCGUUAUGGAUCUCCAGUGCAGAUUUGUUGCUGCUGGAAUGGAUAAUGGUUAGUAUGACAUGAUAGUUUGUUGCCAUUGGAAUGAUCUGCUUUUAUAUGCUAUUAGCAAGAGUGAUACUUUUAAAUUUUGUUCACUUGUGUCCUUCGAUUCAACACAUGCUAAUGUGAAGUUGUAACUUUUUAGAAAAACAAAAGCAGAAUGAAGCUAUGGUUUUACUUGCAGCUUGGUUUUCACAUUCUUCCCAGGUUAAUCUUCACUAUUUUCUUUGGCUCAACUUUAUGUUGCCUUUGCUUUGUACACACCUCAUUAAAACUGAAUCAAGAGGCAUUAUAUUUGUGUAGAUGGUGCCCGCCAUCCCAGUAUGCCUCCCCUCAUUCUGAUGCUUUCGACCCGCCCACAUGCAUUGUAACUUCUUCCUGCUUGUUCUUUGAUUUUUCUGCUCAACCCACACUUUUGUUUAUGCUCCUUGGGUGUGCAAUGUGCUCAAUCUACCCUUUUAGCUAUUUUGCUUGAUGGUCGAUACAUAUGCAAAAGGAGAGGUGGUAGAUAUAGAUGUGAAAGGAGAGGUGUUGACUUUGGAACCGGCUUUCUAACAUAAAUAACUCCAUAUGAAGAUGAAUUGUAAGGACACAACGAUAAUUAUGUCUGGUGACAUGCUGACAUAGCCGUUACCUCCUGUCGUGCUUCACCGGUUUGGCCCAUCUUGUCAUAAUGUGUUUGGAUUAGAGAGUGGCUUCAUCGGCUUUAGAUCCAUGGUCUCAAUAGUUUUGUUGUUCCUGGAUUAUAUCUUAUUGCUAGCUGCAUUGCUUUUGCUCUUUGGUGGGCCUUCAUUAUUUAUGGGGUAUAAUUUGGAGCUAGUCUUUCUAUAGUUUUGGUGUGUCAGAUAAGACGUUGAUGGCUAGCUAUGCUUUGCUUAUAGUUCAGAACUUCAGAUGCCUAUGAGUUAUGAUACCUUCUGUUUUGGUUGUAAUGCCUGACCAUAGAGAGAGGAACAUCGGACAUUGAGGAUUGCGGUGGCUGAUUUUUUAAUUUGUGUUUGCCUCAAGGAUUCUCAUUUAUCUUAACUUCCAUUUACUCAAGACAAUUACAACAUUGGUAGAUAAACUUCUAUUUUCUUAUGUUCUUUGUUAUAUGAUACAUCCCAACAGAACUGAAGCAACUAAUUUAUUCAUGAAAAUGGUUGGUUUAAAUCUCGAAAGCUCAUACCGACAUGGCUUUUUUCACAGCUUCAUGACGAACUAAAAUAAAAGCUUAUGAUAGAAGAAACAUGCUUGGAUAGGCGUCCUUGUUGACCUCGCAGUCUCCAACCCAUCCUUAGGUAUUGCAGCUCCUUCCAAUCCAGUUUACUCCUUUUUGACAAUUUUCUUACUUGAGCCUUGGAGAUAUGCACUGAAUCGGCUAAUGUUUUCUCUGGGAAUUUCCUUUUGUAGAGAGGAUGUCUUCCCGAAUGUAGUUUUUAGUUCUUGAUCUUUUUUAUACAAGAUAUCUAAAUACUGUAAUAACUCUUGCUGGGAAGAAGGUUGUCAUAUAAGGGGAAAACUUUAGAAGUUACGCGAUGUUAUUAUUUUAUUUACUUAUAUCAUGAUAAAUGUUUAUUAUUCAUGCUAGAAUUGUAUUAUCCGGAAACAUAAUACUUGUGUGAAUACAUAGACAAACUAAAACGUCACUAGUAUGCCUCUACUUGACUAGCUCAUUAAUCAAAGAUGGUUAUGUUUCCUAACCAUAGACAUGUGUUGUCAUUUGAUUAACGGGAUCACAUUAUUAGGAGAAUGAUGUGAUUGACAUGACCCAUUCCAUUAGCUUAGCACCCGAUCGUUUAGUAUGUUGCUAUUGCUUUCUUCAUGACUUAUACAUGUUCCUAUGACUAUGAGAUUAUGCAAAUUCCGUUUGCCGGAGGAACACUUUGUGUGCUACCAAACGUCACAACGUAACUGGGUGAUUAUAAAGGAGCUCUACAGGUGUCUCCAAAGGUAAAUGUUGGGUUGGCAUAUUUUGAGAUUAGGAUUUGUCACUCCGAUUGUCAGAGAGGUAUCUCUGGGCCCUCUCGGUAAUGCACAUCACAUAAGCCUUGCAAGCAUUGCAACUAAUGAGUUAGUUGCGAGAUGAUGUAUUACGAAACGAGUAAACAGACUUGCCAGUAACGAGAUUGAACUAGGUAUUGAGAUACUGACGAUCGAAUCUCAGGCAAGUAACAUACCGAUGACAAAGGGAACAACAUGUGUUGUUAUGCGGUUUGACCGAUAAAGAUCUUCGUAGAAUAUGUGGGAGCCAAUAUGAGCAUCCAGGUUCCGCUAUUGGUUAUUGACCGGAGACAUGUCUCGGUCAUGUCUACAUUGUUCUCGAACCCGUAGGGUCCGCACGCUUAAGGUUUCGAUGACAGUUAUAUUAUGAGUUUAUGAGUUUUGAUGUACCGAAGUUAGUUCGGAGUCCCGGAUGUGAUCACGGACAUAACGAGGAGUCUUGAAAUGGUUGAGACAUAAAGAUUGAUAUACUGUACGACUAUAUUCGGACACCGAAAGUGUUCCGGGUGAUUUCGGAGAAAACCGGAGUACUGGAGGGUUACCGAAACCCCCCUGGGAGAAGUAAUGGGCCAUAUGGGCCUUAGUGGAGAGAGAGAAGGGCAGCCAGGGUGGGCCGCACGCCCCCCUGGUCCGAAUUGGACUAGGAGAGGGGGGGGCGGCGCCCCCCUUUCCUUCUCCCUCCCCACUUCCUUCCCCCUCCUAGUAGGAGUCCUACUCCUACUAGGAGGAGGACUCCUCCUUGGCGCGCCUAUAGGGCCGGCCGGCCUCCUCCCCUUGCUCCUUUAUAUACGGGGGCAGGGGGCACCCCUAGACACACAAGUUGAUCCACGUGAUCGUUUUCUUAGCCGUGUGCGGUGCCCCCUUCCACCAUAAUCCUCGAUAAUAUUGUAGCGGUGAUUAGGCGAAGCCCUGCGAUUGUAGAACAUCAAGAUCGUCACCACGCCGUCGUGCUGACGGAACUCUUCCCCGACACUUUGCUGGAUCGAAGUCCGGGGAUCGUCAUCGAGAUGAACGUGUGCUAAAACUCGGAGGUGCCGUAGUUUCGGUGCUUGAUCAGUCGGGCCGUGAAGACGUACGACUACACCAACCGCGUUGUGCUAACGCUUCCGCUGUCGGUCUACAAGGGUACGUAGAUCACACUCUCCCCUCUCGUUACUAUGCAUCACCAUGAUCUUGCGUGUGCGUAGGAUUUUUUUUGAAAUUACUACGUUCCCCAACACAAAACACCGUGGACCAGAGGACAAAAGCACUCCAAAAUCAGCAUCAAAGAUUUUACCAACAUGAGAAAUACCAAAAACAAGAUCACCAGUAGAGUCAAGAACACGAGAAGCAAAUUUCUUGAAAUGAACCUCAGAACCCUCAUCAAGAAGCUGUGGAACUGAAAUCAAAUUAUAACUCAACUUACUUACAAGGGCUACAUCCUUGAGAAGACAGUUCUCGUUGACUCGGAUUGUUCCUUUGGCCACAAUGCAACCCUGUGCAUCAUUCCCAAAAGUGAUAUUUUCAUCACCAGACGCUUUGCAGAGGGAGGCGAACCAUUUGGUAUCACCAGUCAUGUGGCGUGAACACCCAGAGUCAAUAAGCCACUUGUUCGCCAAACCCUCACAACCAACCUACACAAAAGAGCGACAACGAAGUGACUCAGUACUGGGAUUAGUAAGUAAACAUUUUUUAAUCCAGUACUGGGUCACUCCCUUUGCAGGAGUAGAAAUACAUGUGUUAUUAGCAUGCGAUGCAAGGCCAUCUUGAUACCUACAAUUUUGUUGACCUCUACCCUUAGUAAAUCGGGCUAUGGAAGCGGUCUCGUUGGAUUUAAAAUAGUCUCUCCUACCCGAGCCAUGCAAGUAUUCACUCCGACAAUGUGUGUUAGAAACAUGCAGCGCACGAGCCUGUCGUUGCAUGCCCCUAAGAGCACGUAUACGAGAUCUACGUUCAUCUCUAAGUUUUUUGAAGCAAAACUCAGUAAGGUGUCUAGUCUUGUGGCAAUAGGUGCACUGGUAAACUAUUCUCUCUUUUUCAGCAUGAGAACCAGUGGAAGGAGAAGUACCCUUGUCAUUUGGACUCGUGGGAAAAAGUCCCACAGACUGAAAAACUGUCGCUCUCUCAUCCUCACAGACCAAGAUAGCUCCAUCACUUCGAAUGCCUAUGGGUUCUGGAGGGUUGUUCCUAGAAUCUUCCACAAAGUCAAAACCAAGACCUAGACCUUUACUCACCUUUGACUUAUCUAAAAUCAUGUUUAAUCUUUUCUCACCACUUGAGAGCUUUUCUAGGGUCGUCUUGAGGUAAACUACUUCUUUUGCAUAGGAAGCACAUGAUAAACACUCUUUUAAGAAGGACACCCUCACAGCUCUCCCAUAUCUAUCCUUGUAGGCCUGAAUCUCAAGUUUUAAUCCCUCACAAGACACACAAUCUACACUCACAGGAUUUGCAACACCCUUGCCAAACCUGACCAGAAACGCUUCAUGCAUUGCAACAAGAUCAUUCUCAAGUAUGGUACAAAAGGUACAAGCAGUAACAGAACUAGAAGAAGCAUCACAAGAAUCAGUAGGUUUCUUAGAAUUUGAAACUUUAACAAGAUCAUAUUUCUUAUAGAGUUCACUGAGAUGAGCUCCCAAUUCCUCAACUUCUUCUUCGAGUUUAGGACAAUUUACACAAUUUUUAGGAGCAUGCACAUCUAGGAUCAUUUGAUUGAACUUUUUAACCCUAUCAUCAAAGUAUUUGCACUUCAAACAAGAAGGAGGAUUCUCUGCAUCAAAAAGCAUGUGUUCAAGAUUCUUAAUUUUAGCAUUUAAUUUAUCACAGUUUGGGCAGGCACAGUCUAGAACUUUAGGAACUGACAUAGGUGUAUUUUUAACACAAAGGGAGCAAGGGAUCAACUUAACAUCAUCAAGUUCAUUUCUAGUAGAUUCAAGCAACUGUGACAUACUAGCAUGAGUAUUCCUAGCAAGUUCUAAUUCAGCAUGCAACACAUCACAUCCAGCACAAUCAUCAAUAUCAUGAGAAGGCACACUAGCAGUAGCAUCCUUCAGUGUAGUGAUUUCAAGUGUGAGAGAAUCAAUUUGAGAAAGAUUAUCAUUUAUGGUGCACGUACAUUUUUUAAGGACUUUUGCUUGCAUUAAAAAUAGAUUUUCAACUUUCACAUACUCAGCAUAUAAUUCAUCAUAAGACAUUUGUACCUCAUCCGUGUUGUCAUUCUCCUCAUCAGCCUCAUGAGCCAUAAAACACAUGCCGGUGAGCCGAUCAGCCUUCUUCUUCUUUGUAUCCUUCCCUUUGGGAGAAGGAGGAUCAUCCUCACCACUCUGGUCAGAGUCGAUGUCGCUUAAAUCUACUGCAAAUUGUAGACCCGAAGCGAUUGCAGCAACCAUCUUCUGAAGAUGCUUCUCAGCCUUUGGCCGGAACUUGGUUUCAUGGCGAGAGAACGACUUCUUCUUGAUGUAGUUGUUCUUGCCACCGCUAUUUUCACCAUAAUCUUUGAGAUUUGGACAAUCAGACCUAUAGUGUCCCUGCACACCACACUCAAAACAGAUUUUUGUGUGUUUGCCUUUCCUUUCUCUCACGUUUUUAUAAGCUCGAGAAAAACGACGGACAAAAAGAGCAAGAUCAUCCUCAGGCAAAGAUUCAAGUUGUUCAUCAGAGACUGAAACCAAACAAGCAAGUGAAAAACCAGAAGAUGGACCACUGCCAGACUCAAAAACACUAGAGGGACCAUGUGCAGUUUGCAUUCACUACCAACUAGUGCAAGAGUCCUGUUCCUAGGUGGGUUUCUACCUUCACUGGCUAUUUGGUGAGUUUUAAGCUUGGAGAACAACAUGUCUACAGUGAGCUCAUCAGGUUUAUGGGACUCUUGAAUAGCGAUCUUUCUCAUCUCAUAGAUUGGGUCAAGAGAGUUUAGGAUGUGUCUAUCUUUCUUAGAAUCAUUGUACACAACCCCGACACCCCUCAAUUUUCCAACUAUGACCUCAAACCUACCAAACAUGUCCUCUAGAGACUCACCAGGUAACUGCUCAAAUUUGUUGUACUCGGCUUUGUAAAUGUCCUGACGAGUUGUCUUAAUCUCACUAGUGCCCUAGUGGUAAGUGAUGAGAGUGGACCAAAUUUUGUGAGUAGUGUCUAGGUGUGCAACACGCUCAUGCUCUCUCCUAUCCAAACCUGACAAGAGAAUGUUAAUAGCUUUGGAAUUAUUUUCAACAUCAACUAUAUUCUCAGGACCAACACGAGCAGGUAUUGCAAAAUCUCGCACACCAAUUUGCCAUAUUGCAUAGCUUUGAGCUUCAAGAAAUGUUUUCAUGCGAGACUUCCAAAAUGGCCAGUCACUCCCAGAGAACAGAGGAGGACGCGACGGGUUCACAAAUGACUCCAUGGCUCAAGAGCUGAUUAAGGCUAUAGAUGAGCCGACCGGGCUCUGAUGCCAAUUGUAGGAUUGAAUGCCGGGAGUCAGAAGGGGGGUUGAAUGACGACCUUGAAAAAUUUAACCUCUUAAAUUUUUUGCACGAUAGUUACGGAAGAACUAUGAUGCUCGGAAUAGAGGAAUACACAUCGGAAACAAAAUAUGUCUGUUAAAACAGACUGAAACUAGUCCACCAAUUCUCAAGUCUUGACUUGAGAGCUCAAAGAAUAAUAAGCAUCGGAAAAGUGUACUGGAAAAAUUAGUGCUUAAUUAGACCAAGAGGUUACACGGCAAGGUUAUAGGCUAAUCAAAUGGGAGCUACUUAACCCAAAAGACUAACACGCACUAGCACAAGACACUAGUACUUAACUUGCACGUACUAGCAUAAUACUUUUUCAAUGGAGAAGAACUACACUGCCUGGAGCUGAUUUCACUAGACGAGAAUCUGCAGCACAUACAGCAGCUAGACUAGCAACUAACUGAAAUCCACGAUUUUAGUUCUACCGAUUUGGACUGACCAACUCUGCUAUCCUAAAGACGAACGACAGAUAGCUGAAGAUGAACUAAAACCUGAGAAAAUUACGCCAAGCAUAAAAAUAGAAGGGAGCGAGCCAGUAGCAUCAGCGGAUGCUCUUCCAUUCGACAGAGAACGCCAAGAAAAUUGCUAGAAAUACAACGACCCCAAAUUGAAACAAGAACAGAGGACGAACUCAGUAUGAACUCGCACAAAAUAAAUCACCAAAGAUAAAAUCUUGUGCCAUCCUCAGGAACCCAUGAAUAAAUUGAACAACAACCGGAUUUAAGGCUAGGGAUGGAUGCAUAUGAAUUUAGACAUGAUUUUCCAUCACAGAAAACCCAUUAUAGCCAAGGAAUCGUAGGGACAAAAUUAGUAUAGCAGAAAAAUGAGAUUUGCAAGGACAAACAUCAGACCUCAACAAUAGCAAGGCUGCGAAUAAUUUGAGGAUUUAUUUCUCAGAUUUCUGGAGUUACAAGCCUCUCUCACAUAGGCUAAAUCCCACACAGGAAGCUCUCUCUCAAAUGUGCGGCGGCUGCUCUGUUUUUCUCCUCCUAGCGGCGGCAACUCUAUCUUAUGCCAAGAGAAAACCUAGCAGCUUACAUAUAAGGCUGGAUCAGCCUUCCACCGCCAUUGAAUGGGCCAUGGUUCCCACCGAAUGGGCCAAGCCCAAAACACUAAAACAAAUAGCCAUUUUUACUUAGCCACUUGUAAAUAACACUUUCCACUCUUAAGCAACACCACAAUCACUCUCUUGGUUUGCUUCUUAGUGGAUUUUGGUAAACAUACCAAAAUAACCUUCACUUGACAUGAUCUUCUCGUUUGCCUCCAUAUAGUCCUUGUCCAAAACUUGUGCGUUGCUUUGAGCCGCACGAUCCCGCACAACGUCCAUGGUCACAUCUUAGCUCUUCAAGCCUCAUGCCAACCAUCCUCGUUUUCGACUACCAUCGCACUCAUUGGAACCUGCACACAAUGGAAACAAGCAACUAUUGCGAGCACAAACUUCCUGAGCUUGACCCAAGUCAAUACAAAUUAACAGUUUAAUACAAUCAACGCCAUCCAAGUAAGUCACAUAAAAUAGAUCAGGUCCUUGAUCCAACAAACUGGGAUUUGCAACCCCACUAAAAUAACUCUCAAAGCGAGCAAAAACAUUGGCAAUAUAAUCAUCACAAAAUUAAGGGUAUCACCACAUAGACUCACAAUCUCCUCCUUGAUGUUUAUAUUGCCAACUCAGCUCCCAGGAAGAAAAAUUAGAGUUUUAGUUUUAACAGAGAGAAGGAAAGUUGCAAAAUCACACUUGGUCCUAAAGAAAAAAAAUGUAGACAUGACCAAGUGGACAAGGUGGAGAGUGAAGCUAACACCCGGAUCCAAAGCUUCACUUCCAACAAAAACUCAUUAGAGAGAAAUCAACCUUGUUUUCACAAGUUCACAAGGGAAAGAACCAAGAUUUUUUUAAAUAUGAAUGGCUCCCCCUAACUCCCCCUCAACUUGUGUACAUACUGAGACUCAUACAGUGCUCAAUUUGCAACAUAUGCACUGUCCUAUUUCUCCCCCUUUGGCAUUAUAAGCAUCAAGGGAGAUGCCUCCCCCUCAAUUUAUGCAUAUGAGAAAACAUCAAGAUCGAGCAUGUAUGCAUGAAGUGGAAUUUAUGCAAUUGUACGAGCAUUGAAGAUUAUUCAGUUGAAGCACAUGAGAUAGAAAUGCUACUAGGCCAUGAUAAGUAAGAGCUCAUCUAGUCAUACUAAGACAUAUAGAGAAAAUCCUUGAGCUAGAUGCAACAAGACAUUCAAGUUCUUAGUAACUUUAGUUUUCACACAUGAUGAGUUCUUAUGUAGGCAAACACAUGGAAAAGAGACUAAACAUUGCAGGGCAUUACAACCUAGCGCUAAGCAAUGACUAGGAGGCACACCCGAUCAAAAAUGGAACCUUCUCGCUAUGCUGAUCAUCUCACAAGAAAAGUGCCACCUCCUGCAUGAGCAGGCACCUUGAGUGAUUAAGUCAACACAAAAUGAUACACUUAGAAAUUCUAUGAAAAGGCACAAGCAAGGUACCACCUCCUGCACGAGCAGGUACCUUGAGUGAUUUUAUUUUGAUUUUAUGAAAAGGCACAAGCAAAGUACCACUUCCUGUACGAGCAGGUACCUUGAGUGAUUUGAUUUUGAUUUAAUGUUAAGUCACAAGCAAAGCACCACCUCCUGCACAAGCAGGUACCUUGAGUGGUUUGAUUAAGAAAGUAUGGAAUAUGCACAAGCAAAAUACCACCUCCUGCACGAGUAGGUAUCUUGAGUGAUUCUUCACAAAAAAAUGCAGAUAAAAAGUAACUCAUGAAAGCAAGACUAGGGACUUGACAAGACAGUAGACCAUAUCCGACCUGAGCCACAUAGAUCUAAGCAAAACAAGUCUCUAGUGGUUCCAGGUGUGAUAUCAAAUGGAGUCCAAACUAGCUAGCCACAACAUAGAUCAGAGUUGCAAUACAAAGCACAAGUAGAUUCUCAAGUCAAGGUGAUCAACUAGCAUAGAACUCAUCAUAUGGUCAACAUGUUUAUUUAGUUCAACUUCAUUUCUAAUUAAAAGUAGCAUGCAAAGGGUUAUCCAUAUAUGGCAAACCAUGACAGGAUGAGCUAGACAAUAAGCAUAACAUGGCCAAGAGCAACUUCAUUAUGAACAUUUCUUCAACAAAAGAAUCAUCAAAGCUCAAAGGUAUCUUACAUAUGAUGCAAGGUGCAAUAUGAUACAUAUGAACAAAGAAAAAACACAAACUCCCCCUUCACAAGAUCCCAUAAGGGCCGACGACCCCCAAAUCUCCCCGCAAAGAAGCAAAACGACUAACAUCCAAAGGUUUGGUAAAAAUAUCGGCAAGCUGAUGCUCAGUAUCAACAUACAUGAGCUCUAUAUCACCUUUCUCCAUGUGGUCUCUUAUGAAGUGGUAGCGCAGCUCAAUGUGUUUAGUUCUAGAGUGUUGGACUGGAUUCUUAGCAAUACUUAUCGCACUAGUGUUAUCGCAGAAAAGUGGAAUGGAAGAAAUGAAAAUCCCAAAAUCCUGUAAAGUAGAAGAGAUCCAAAGAAUCUGACUACAACUUCUCGCAGCUGCUACAUACUCUGCCUCGGCUGUGCUCUGUGCUACACUAGAUUGCUUCCUAGAAAACCAAGAAAUAAGGGAAGUACCUAGAAAGUGACAAGUGCCAGAAGUCCUCUUGUGGUCUAUCCUACACCCACCAAAGUCUGAAUCUGCAACCCCCUAACUCCUAAACUAGAAGAACUAGAAAACCAUAGGCCAAAAUCAGGUGUUCCUUGGAGGUACCUUAAAAUGCAUUUGACGGCUUGCUUAUGGGAGUCUCUUGGGGAAGCCUGAAAACGAGCACACAGGCACACCGCAAAUUGUAUGUCUGGCCUCGUUGCAGUCAAGUACAGUAGUGAGCCAAUCAUGCUUCUGUAUUUCGCUGGUCCACCACCUCACCAUUUUCGUCUACAUCAAGUAUUGUGGUAGUGUACAUUGGGGUAUGGAGUGGCUUGGAAUCGCUCAUCCCAAACUUCUUUAACAUGUCCUUCAUGUACUUGCCUUGAUAUACAAAGGUGCCCUGCUUUGUUUGCUUGAUUUGCAGUCCAAGAAAGAAGGACAACUCAACCAUCAUGGACAUCUCAAAUUCAUCACUCAUGUCUUUGGAAAACUUAGCACAAAGAGCAUUAGACGAGCCACCAAAUAUGAUAUCAUCUACGUAAAUUUGCACUAUAAGUAGUUCAUUAUGAUGCCUAAGAGUGAACAAGGUCUUAUCAGCUUCACCCAUUUUAAAACCUUUCUUGAUUAAAAACCCUUUGAGCCUAUCGUACCAAGCUCUAGGGGCUUGCUUAAGACCAUAAAGAGCUUUCUGCAAUUUAUAGACAUGGUUUGGGAGCUUGUCAUUUUCAAAACCAGGGGGUUCUUUUACAUAAACUUCUUCAUCAAUGAAACCAUUUAGAAAAGCACUUUUGACAUCCAUUUGAAAUAACUUAAAACCCUUGGAAGCAGAGUAAGCAAGUAAAAUACGUAUCGCCUCCAACCGUGCAACAGGUGCAAAGGUCUCAUCAAAAUUAAAACCCAGAAUUUGAGAAUAACCUUGAGCAACUAGGCGAGCCUUGUUGCGAACAACUUGGCCGUCCUCUCCCUGUUUAUUUUUGAAAACCCACUUGGUUCGAAUAACAUUUAUACUCUGGUCAAAUGGGGGGUUUUACAAGUUGCCAUACCUUGUUUCUCUCAAAGUUCUCUAACUCCUCAUGCAUUUCCCUAAUCUAGUUUUCAUCUUCUAAUGCAUGGCUAACAUCUCGGGGCUCAAAAGAUGCAACAAAUGCAGUAUGUGCAAAGUCUGAGAAAUGAGUGGACCUGGAGCGCAAAGUACGCUCAGAGAUGUUGCCGAUGAUCAGAUCUGGUGGGUGAGCAUGAUGAAGACGUAGAGAUCCCUGAAGGACCUCAGAAGCAGGUGAGGAAAUAGUUGUGGUAGCCUCUGCCUCAACAUCUUCCAUUGGAACAGAAGUGGUAGCAGGUUCUGCGACAGGUGCACGGGGUAUGGGGUUUUGUCCCACACCAUCCUCAUUAUCUUCUUCAAGAAAUAAGGUUUCAGAAACUUGUGGUGUACCUGAAAACUCGGGUCUAGCUGGGCUAGCAUCAUCAAAAGUUACAUCGCAAGUCUCUACCACAAGGUUAGAUUCUAAAUUUAAAACACGAUAGCCCUUCAUGUGAGCAGGGUAACCAAGAAAGAUACCAUCAGAAGUGCGCGACUCAAACUUGUCGAGCAGGCCCUUCUUUAGGAUAAAACACUUGCAACCAAACACCCGCAAAUGAGAAAUAUUAGGCUUUCUACCAAAUCUCAACUCAUAAGAGGCCACUUUCAAGGAACUCCGAAGAAAAACACGAUUUGACACAUAGCAAGCUGUACUAAUGGCUUCAGCCCAAUAACGCCGCGGUGUGCCAAAUUCAUCAAGCAUGGUCCUUCCCAUCUCCACAAGAGUUCUAUUUUUCCUUUCCACAACACCAUUUUGUUGAGGUGUGCGAGGAGAAGAAAAUUGGUGCUCAAUUCCUCUCUCAGCAAGGAAAUCGGAAAAUGAAGAAUUUUUGAAAUCCAAACCAUUAUCACUACGAAUAGUUUUCAUCACACCAGGAAAUACAUUGAAUAGCCUUAAAGCCAAAUCAUGAAAAUGAUUGAAUGCUUCCGAUUUAUGAUCCAUAAAGAAAACCCAAGAGUAUCGAGAAAAAUCAUCUACGAUGACAAGCACGUACCACUUCCCACCAGCUGACCGGACCCGAGCUGGACCAACUGUGUCCAUAUGUAACAAUUGAGCGGGUCUGGUUGUGUUCACCAGAUUGAUUGGAGGGUGAGAGGCAGAGACUUGCUUUCCAUGCCGGCAUGGGGCACACACAAUGUCCUUUGUGGCUUUGAGCUUAGGCAAACCUCGCAAAAGAUCAAGGCCGCCAAUUCGAAUUAGGUGGUCAAAACCAACAUGCCCCAAGCGACGAUGCCACAACUGAAACUCACUCAUCUUAGAAGAGGCCACAAAAUGAAGGAAAUAUGCCCUAGAGGCAAUAAUAAUGUUAUUAUUUUAUUUCCUUAUAUCAUGAUAAAUGUUUAUUAUUCAUGCUAGAAUUGUAUUAUCCGGAAACAUAAUACUUGUGUGAAUACAUAGACAAACUAAAACGUCACUAGUAUGCCUCUACUUGACUAGCUCGUUAAUCAAAGAUGGUUAUGUUUCCUAACCAUAGACAUGUGUUGUCGUUUGACUAACGGGAUCACAUUAUUAGGAGAAUGAUGUGAUUGACAUGACCCAUUCCAUUAGCUUAGCACCCGAUCGUUUAGUAUGUUGCUAUUGCUUUCUUCAUGACUUAUACAUGUUCCUAUGACUAUGAGAUUAUGCAACUCCUGUUUGUCGGAGGAACACUUUGUGUGAUACCAAACGUCACAACGUAACUGGGUGAUUAUAAAGGAGCUCUACAGGUGUCUCCAAAGGUAAAUGUUGGGUUGGCGUGUUUCGAGAUUAGGAUUUGUCACUCCGAUUGUCGGAGAGGUAUGUCUGGGCCCUCUCGGUAAUGCACAUCACAUAAGCCUUGCAAGCAUUGCAAGUAAUGAGUUAGUUGCGAGAUGAUGUAUUACGAAACGAGUAAAGAGACUUGCCGGUAACGAGAUUGAACUAGGUAUUGAGAUACCGACGAUCGAAUCUCGGGCAAGUAACAUACCGAUGACAAAGGGAACAACGUGUGUUGUUAUGCGGUUUGACCGAUAAAGAUCUUCAUAGAAUAUGUGGGAGCCAAUAUGAGCAUCCAGGUUCCGCUAUUGGUCAUUGACCGGAGACAUGUCUCGGUCAUGUCUACAUUGUUCUCGAACCCGUAGGGUCCGCACGCUUAAGGUUUCGAUGACAGUUAUAUUAUGAGUUUAUGAAUUUUGAUGUACCGAAGUUAGUUCGGAGUCCCAGAUGUGAUCACGGACAUAACGAGGAGUCUCGAAAUGGUCGAGACAUAAAGAUUGAUAUAUUGGACGACUAUAUUCGGACACCGGAAGUGUUCCGGGUGAUUUCGGAGAAAACCGGAGUACCGGAGGGUUACCGGAACCCCCCCGGGAGAAGUAAUGGGCCAUAUGGGCCUUUGUGGAGAGAGAGAAGGGCAGCCAGGGUGGGCCGCACGCCUCCUCCCCCUGGUCCGAAUUGGACUAGGAGAGGGGGGGGGGGCAGCGCCCCCCUUUCCUUCUCCCUCCCCACUUCCUUCCCCCUCCUAGUAGGAGUCCUACUCCUACUAGGAGGAGGACUCCUCCUUGGCGCGCCUAUAGGGCCGGCCGGCCUCCUCCCCUUGCUCCUUUAUAUACGGGGGAAGGGGGCACCCCUAGACACACAAGUUGAUCCACGUGAUCAUUUCCUUAGCCAUGUGCGGUGCCCUCUUCCACCAUAAUCCUCGAUAAUAUUGUAGCGGUGCUUAGGCGAAGCCCUGCGACGGUAGAACAUCAAGAUCGUCACCACGCCGUCGUGCUGACGGAACUCUUCCCCGACACUUUGCUGGAUCGAAGUCUGGGGAUCGUCAUCGAGCUGAACGUGUGCUAAAACUCGGAGGUGCCGUAGUUUCGGUGCUUGAUCGGUCGGGCCGUGAAGACGUACGACUACAUCAACCGCGUUGUGCUAACGCUUCCGCUGUCGGUCUACAAGGGUACAUAGAUCACACUCUCCCCUCUCGUUGCUAUGCAUCACCAUGAUCUUGCGUGUGCGUAGGAAUUUUUUUGAAAUUACUAUGUUCCCCAACACAAAACACCGUGGACCAGAGGACAAAAGCACUACAAAAUCAGCAUCAAAGAUUUUACCAACAUGAGAAAUACCAAAAACAAGAUCACUAGUAGAGUCAAGAACACGAGAAGCAGAUUUCUUGAAAUGAACCUCAAAACCCUCAUCAAAAAGCUGUGAAACUGAAAUCAAAUUAUAACUCAACUUACUUACAAGGGCUACAUCCUUGAGAAGACAGUUCUCGUUGACUCGGACUGUUCCUUUGGCCACAAUGCAACCCUGUGCAUCAUUCCCAAAAGUGGUCUUUUCAUCACCAGACGCUUUGCAGAGGGAGGCGAACCAUUUGGUAUCACCAGUCAUGUGGCGUGAACACCCAGAGUCAAUAAGCCACUUGUUCGCCAAACCCUCACAACCAACCUACACAAAAGAGCGACAACGAAGUGACUCAGUACUAGGAUUAGUAAGUAAACAUUUUUUAAUUCAGUAUUGGGUCACUCCCUUUGCAGGAGCAGAAAUACAUGUGUUAUUAGCAUGCAAUGCAAGGCCAUCUUGAUACCUACAAUUUUGUUGACCUCUACCCCUAGUAAAUCGGGCUCUGGAAGCGGUCUCGUUGGAUUUAAAAUAGUCUCUCCUACCCGAUCCAUGCAAGUACUCACUCCGACAAUGUGUGUUAGAAACAUGCAGUGCACGAGCCUGUCGUUGCAUGCCCCUAAGAGCACGUAUACGAGAUCUAUGUUCAUCUCUAAGUUUUUUGAAGCAAAACUCAGCAAGGUGUCUAGUCUUGUGGCAAUAGGUGCACUGGUAAACUAUUCUCUCUUUUUCAGCAUGAGAACCAGUGGAAGGAGAAGUACCCUUGUCAUUUGGACUCGUGGGCAAAAGUCCCACAGACUGAAAAACUGUCGCUCUCUCAUCCUCACACACCAAGAUAGCUCCAUCACUUCGAAUGCCUAUGGGUUCUGGAGGGUUGUUCCUAGAAUCUUCCACAAAGUCAAAACCAAGACCUAGACCUUUACUCACCUUUGACUUAUCUAAAAUCAUGUUUAAUCUUUUCUCACCACUUGAGAGCUUUUCUAGGGUCGUCUUGAGGUAAGCUACUUCUUUUGCAUAGGAAGCACAUGAUAAACACUCUUUUAAGGAGGACACCCUCACAGCUCUCCCAUAUCUAUCCUUGUAGGCCUGAAUCUCAAGUUUUAAUCCCUCACAAGACACACAAUCUACACUCACAGGAUUUGCAACACCCUUGCCAAACCUGACCCGAAAUGCUUCAUGCAUUGCAACAAGAUCAUUCUCAAGUAUGGUACAAAAGGUACAAGCAGUAACAGAACUAGAAGAAGCAUCACGAGAAUCGGUAGGUUUCUUAGAAUUUGAAACUUUAACAAGAUCAUAUUUCUUAUAGAGUUCACUGAGAUGAGCUCCUAAUUCCUCAACUUCUUCUUCGAGUUUAGGACAAUUUACACAAUUUUUAGGAGCACGCACAUCUAGGAUCAUUUGAUUGAACUUUUUAACCCGAUCAUCAAAGUAUUUGCACUUCAAACAAGAAGGAGGAUUCUCUGCAUCAAAAAGCAUGUGUUCAAGAUUCUUAAUUUUAGCAUUUAAUUUAUCAUAGUUUGGGCAGGCACAGUCUAGAACUUUAGGAACUGACAUAGGUGUAUUUUCAACACAAAGGGAGCAAGGGCUCAACUUAACAUCAUCAAGUUCAUUUCUAGCAGAUUCAAGCAACUGUGACAUACUAGCAUGAGUAUUCCUAGCAAGUUCUAAUUCAGCAUGCAACACAUCACAUCCAACACAAUCAUCAAUAUCAUGAGAAGGCACACUAGCAGUAGCAUCCUUCAGUGUAGUGAUUUCAAGUGUGAGAGAAUCAAUUUGAGCAAGAUUAUCAUUUAUGGUGCGCGUACAUUUUUUAAGGACUUUUGCUUGCAUUAAAAAUAGAUUUUCAACUUUCACAUACUCAGCAUAUAAUUCAUCAUAAGACAUUUGUACCUCAUCCAUGCUGUCGUUCUCCUCAUCAGCCUCAUGAGCCAUAAAACACAUGCCGGUGAGCCGAUCAGCCUUCUUCUUCUUUGUAUCCUUCCCUUUGGGAGAAGGAGGAUCAUCCUCACCACUCUGGUCAGAGUCGAUGUCGCUUAAAUCUACUGCAAAUUGUAGACCCGAAGCGAUUGCAGCAACCAUCUUCUGAAGAUGCUUCUCAGCCUUUGGCUGGAACUUGGUUUCAUGGUGAGAGAACGGCUUCUUCUUGAUGUAGUUGUUCUUGCCACCGCUAUUUUCACCAUAAUCUUUGAGAUUUGGACAAUCAGACCUGUAGUGUCCCUGCACACCACACUCAAAACAAUUUUUUGUGUGUUUGCCUUUCCUUUCUCUCACGUUUUUAUAAGCUCGAGAAAAACGACGGACAAAAAGAGCAAGAUCAUCCUCAGGCAAAGAUUCAAGUUGUUCAUCAGAGACUGAAACCAAACAAGCAAGUGAAAAACCAGAAGAUGGACCACUGCCAGACUCAGAAACACUAGAGGGACCAUGUGCAGUUUGGCAUUCACUACCAACUAGUGCAAGAGUCCUGUUCCUAGGUGGGUUUCUACCUUCACUGGCUAUUUGGUGAGUUUUAAGCUUGGAUAACAACAUGUCUACAGUGAGCUCAUCAGGUUUAUGGGACUCUUGAAUAGCGAUCUUUCUCAUCUCAUAGAUUGGGUCAAGAGAGUUUAGGAUGUGUCUAGCUUUCUCAGAAUCAUUGUACACAACCCCGACACCCCUCAAUUUUCCUACUAUGACCUCAAACCUACCAAACAUGUCCUCUAGAGACUCACCAGGUAACUGCUCAAAUUUGUUGUACUCGGCUUUGUAAAUGUCCUGACGAGCUGUCUUAAUCUCACUAGUGCCCUAGUGGUAAGUGAUGAGAGUGGACCAAAUUUUGUGAGCAGUGUCUAGGUGUGCAACACGCUCAUGCUCUCUCCUAUCCAAACCUGACAAGAGAAUGUUAAUAGCUUUGGAAUUAUUUUCAACAUCAACUAUAUUCUCAGGACCAACACGAGCAGGUAUUGCAAAAUCUCGCACACCAAUUUGCCAUAUUGCAUAGCUUUGAGCUUCAAGAAAUGUUUUCAUGCGAGACUUCCAAAACGGCCAGUCACUCCCAGAGAACAGAGGAGGACACGACGGGUUCGCAAAUGACUCCAUGGCUCAAGAGCUGGUUAAGGCUAUAGAUGAGCCGACCGGGCUCUGAUGCCAAUUGUAGGAUCGAAUGCCGGGAGUCAGAAGGGGGGUUGAAUGACGACCUUGAAAAAUUUAACCUCUUAAAUUUUUUGCACGAUAGUUACAGAAGAACUAUGAUGCUCGGAAUAGAGGAAUACGCAGCGGGAACAAAAUAUGUCUGUCAAAACAGACUGAAACUAGUCCAACAAUUCUCAAAUCUUGACUUGAGAGCUCAAAGAAUAAUAAGCACCAGAAAAAUGUACUGGAAAAAUUAGUGCUUAAUUAGACUAACAGGUUACACGGCAAGGUUAUAGGCUAAUCAAAUGGGAGCUACUUAACCCAAAAGACUAACACACACUAGCACAAGACACUAGUACUUAACUUGCACGUACUAGCAUAAUACUUUUUCAAUGGAGAAGAACUACACUGCCUGGAGCUGAUUUCACUAGACGAGAAUCUGUAGCACAUACAGCAGCUAGACUAGCAACUAACUGAAAUCCACGAUUUUAGUUCUACCAAUUUGGACUGACCAACUCUGCUAUCCUAAAGACGAAUGAGAGAUAGCUGAAGAUGAACUAAAACCUGAGAAAAUUACGCCAAGCAUAAAAAUAGAAGGGAGCAAGCCAGUCAAUCAGCGGAUGCUCUUCCGUUCAACAGAGAACGCCAAGAAAAUUGCUAGAAAUACAGCGACCCCAAAUCGAAACAAGAAUAGAGGACGAACUCAGUAUGAACUCACACAAAAUAAAUCACCAAAGAUAAAAUCUUGCGCCAUCCUCAGGAACCCAUGAAUAAAUUGAACAACAACCGGAUUUAAGGCUAGGGAUGGAUGCAUAUGAAUUUAGACAUGAUUUUCCAUCACGGAAAACCCAUUAUAGCCAAGGAAUCGUAGGGACAAAAUUAGUACAACAGAAAAACGAGAUUUGCAAGGACAAACAGCAGACCUCAACAAUAGCAAGGCUGUGAACAAUUUGAGGAUUUAUUUCUCAGAUUUCUGGAGUUACAAGCCUCUCUCACAUAGGCUAAAUCC